UACAGAGGUCUCAAGCGUUGUUCGGAUUCAUUGGGCGUAAAGGGUGCGUAGGUGGCGCUGUAAGUCGGGUGUGAAAUUUCGGAGCUUAACUCCGAAACUGCAUUCGAUACUGCGGUGCUUGAGGACUGGAGAGGAGACUGGAAUUUACGGUGUAGCGGUGAAAUGCGUAGAUAUCGUAAGGAAGACCAGUGGCGAAGGCGGGUCUCUGGACAGUUCCUGACGCUGAGGCACGAAGGCCAGGGGAGCAAACGGG
rnacentral:rRNA from 1 species